rnacentral:tRNA from 1 species
CGGAGUGUAGCGCAGUUGGUAGCGCGUCUGCCCUGGGAGCAGAAGGUCGUGAGUUCAAAUCUCACCACUCCGACCA